ACGAACGCUGGCGGCGUGCCUAACACAUGCAAGUCGAACGAAGCACUGUGGAUAGAGACUUCGGUCAAUUGAAACUUUGACUUAGUGGCGGACGGGUGAGUAACGCGUGAGGAACCUGCCUUUCAGAGGGGGACAACAGUUGGAAACGACUGCUAAUACCGCAUGACACAGCGGGGUCGCAUGACUCUGCUGUCAAAGAUUUAUUGCUGAAAGAUGGCCUCGCGUCUGAUUAGAUAGUUGGUGAGGUAACGGCCCACCAAGUCGACGAUCAGUAGCCGGACUGAGAGGUUGAACGGCCACAUUGGGACUGAGAUACGGCCCAGACUCCUACGGGAGGCAGCAGUGGGGAAUAUUGGGCAAUGGGGGAAACCCUGACCCAGCAACGCCGCGUGAAGGAAGAAGGCUUUCGGGUUGUAAACUUCUUUUACCAGGGACGAAGGACGUGACGGUACCUGGAGAAAAAGCCACGGCUAACUACGUGCCAGCAGCCGCGGUAAUACGUAGGUGGCAAGCGUUGUCCGGAUUUACUGGGUGUAAAGGGCGUGUAGGCGGGAGAGCAAGUCAGAAGUGAAAUCUAUGGGCUUAACCCAUAAACUGCUUUUGAAACUGUUCUUCUUGAGUAUCGGAGAGGCAGGCGGAAUUCCUAGUGUAGCGGUGAAAUGCGUAGAUAUUAGGAGGAACACCAGUGGCGAAGGCGGCCUGCUGGACGACAACUGACGCUGAGGCGCGAAAGCGUGGGGAGCAAACAGGAUUAGAUACCCUGGUAGUCCACGCUGUAAACGAUGAAUACUAGGUGUGGGGGGACUGACCCCUUCCGUGCCGCAGUUAACACAAUAAGUAAUCCACGAGGGGAGUAGGAUCGCAAGAUUGAGAGUCAAAGGGAUUGACGGGGGCCCGAACAAGGAGUGGAUGAUGUAGUGUAAUUAGACGCAACGCGAAGAACCUUACAGAGAUUGGACAACCUACUAACGAAGUAGAGAUACAUUAGGUGCCCUUCGGGGAAAGUAGAGACAGGUGGUGCAUGGUUGUCGUCAGCUCGUGUCGUGAGAUGUUGGGUUAAGUCCCGCAACGAGCGCAACCCCUAUUGUUAGUUGCUACGCAAGAGCACUCUAGCGAGACUGCCGUUGACAAAACGGAGGAAGGCGGGGACGACGUCAAAUCAUCAUGCCCCUUAUGUCCCGGGCUACACACGUAAUACAAUGGCGAAUAACAAAGGGAAGCAAAGCCGCGAGGUGGAGCAAAUCCCCAAAAUUCGUCUCAGUUCGGAUUGCAGGCUGCAACUCGCCUGCAUGAAGUUGGAAUUGCUAGUAAUCGUAGAUCAGCAUGCUACGGUGAAUACGUUCCCGGGCCUUGUACACACCGCCCGUCACACCAUGAGAGUCGGGAACACCCGAAGUCCGUAGUCUAACCGCAAGGAGGGCGCGGCCGAAGGUGGGUCUGAUAAUUGGGGUG
rnacentral:rRNA from 1 species